rnacentral:rRNA from 1 species
CUAACACAUGCAAGUCGAGCGGUAGCACAGAGAGCUUGCUCUCGGGUGACGAGCGGCGGACGGGUGAGUAAUGUCUGGGAAACUGCCUGAUGGAGGGGGAUAACUACUGGAAACGGUAGCUAAUACCGCAUAACGUCGCAAGACCAAAGUGGGGGACCUUCGGGCCUCAUGCCAUCAGAUGUGCCCAGAUGGGAUUAGCUAGUAGGUGGGGUAACGGCUCACCUAGGCGACGAUCCCUAGCUGGUCUGAGAGGAUGACCAGCCACACUGGAACUGAGACACGGUCCAGACUCCUACGGGAGGCAGCAGUGGGGAAUAUUGCACAAUGGGCGCAAGCCUGAUGCAGCCAUGCCGCGUGUGUGAAGAAGGCCUUCGGGUUGUAAAGCACUUUCAGCGGGGAGGAAGGCGUUAAGGUUAAUAACCUUGGCGAUUGACGUUACCCGCAGAAGAAGCACCGGCUAACUCCGUGCCAGCAGCCGCGGUAAUACGGAGGGUGCAAGCGUUAAUCGGAAUUACUGGGCGUAAAGCGCACGCAGGCGGUCUGUCAAGUCGGAUGUGAAAUCCCCGGGCUCAACCUGGGAACUGCAUUCGAAACUGGCAGGCUAGAGUCUUGUAGAGGGGGGUAGAAUUCCAGGUGUAGCGGUGAAAUGCGUAGAGAUCUGGAGGAAUACCGGUGGCGAAGGCGGCCCCCUGGACAAAGACUGACGCUCAGGUGCGAAAGCGUGGGGAGCAAAACAGGAUUAGAUACCCUGGUAGUCCACGCCGUAAACGAUGUCGAUUUGGAGGUUGUGCCCUUGAGGCGUGGCUUCCGGAGCUAACGCGUUAAAUCGACCGCCUGGGGAGUACGGCCGCAAGGUUAAAACUCAAAUGAAUUGACGGGGGCCCGCACAAGCGGUGGAGCAUGUGGUUUAAUUCGAUGCAACGCGAAGAACCUUACCUGGUCUUGACAUCCACAGAACUUUCCAGAGAUGGAUUGGUGCCUUCGGGAACUGUGAGACAGGUGCUGCAUGGCUGUCGUCAGCUCGUGUUGUGAAAUGUUGGGUUAAGUCCCGCAACGAGCGCAACCCUUAUCCUUUGUUGCCAGCGGUUAGGCCGGGAACUCAAAGGAGACUGCCAGUGAUAAACUGGAGGAAGGUGGGGAUGACGUCAAGUCAUCAUGGCCCUUACGACCAGGGCUACACACGUGCUACAAUGGCAUAUACAAAGAGAAGCGACCUCGCGAGAGCAAGCGGACCUCAUAAAGUAUGUCGUAGUCCGGAUUGGAGUCUGCAACUCGACUCCAUGAAGUCGGAAUCGCUAGUAAUCGUAGAUCAGAAUGCUACGGUGAAUACGUUCCCGGGCCUUGUACACACCGCCCGUCACACCAUGGGAGUGGGUUGCAAAAGAAGUAGGUAGCUUU